UGAUCUCUGACUGAGUUUGUCCCUCAGCUUAGCUUUAGCCAUGUGGUCAGGCCUGAGGUAAGGACCUAGUUUAAGCACCACUGUCUUCAUUUACUUGAACUCUACUGAAGUCUGUCUUUGUUUUCCAGUUGGUUGCUGUUGCCUUUGUUGGCUUUGGGGACAAAUCAGGUUGAGGCCUACAUUGUAGGACCUGUUCAGCAGUAUCGACAAGACCACGUUCCAGUGUAUGCCUAUCGUCCAGAGUUGCGCAGUUUUGGUGGCACCGAGUCUUCCUGGCAGUCGGAUGCAUACGAGGACCCCAGUGACUACAGCUAUGAUGAUGACGAUGAAGGUUACACAGAUGAGCCUGACCUGGACCCAAGAGGGACAAAGGUCCACCCCAAGUGCAAAUCAAAAAGCCGUAACUGCAAGCCCAAGAUGCCCACGACAACAACUACAAUGAUGCCGACCACGACGACCAAACCACCCUGCCCAGCUAAGCUGCCCCAAUGCAGGCAUAGAAUUAAGAAGCCCACCUGCCCUCACAACCGGCCUUCCUGUGUCAAAAAGCCACCCACUGAAACACAGAAGCCUGACUGUCCUCCUCAAAAACCUUGUCCUCAGGUUCCUGCACAGUACCCCUAUCCCCCAUACUGGUCUAUUUAUCCCUACCCAGGUCCUGUUAACCAUCCCCAAGCUCCCCAAUAUGCUCC
rnacentral:lncRNA from 1 species